CCUACGGGAGGCAGCAGUGAGGAAUUUUCCGCAAUGGGCGAAAGCCUGACGGAGCAAUACCGCGUGAGGGAUGAAGGAUUUUGGUCUGUAAACCUCUUUUCUCAAGAAAGAAGUUCUGACGGUACUUGAGGAAUAAGCAUCGGCUAACUCCGUGCCAGCAGCCGCGGUAAUACGGGGGAUGCAAGCGUUAUCCGGAAUGAUUGGGCGUAAAGCGCCUGUAGGUUGUUUAUUAAGUCCGUUGUUAAAGCCUAGGGCUCAACCCUAGAAAAGCAAUGGAAACUAGUAGACUAGAGUAUGGCAGGGGUAGAGGGAAUUUCUAGUGUAGCGGUGAAAUGCGUAGAUAUUAGAAAGAACACCGGUGGCGAAAGCGCUCUACUGGACCAUUACUGACACUCAGAGGCGAAAGCUAGGGUAGCAAAAGGGAUUAGAUACCCCUGUAGUCCUAGCCGUAAACGAUGGAUACUAGAUGUUGUGCAUUAUGUACAGUAUCGUAGCUAACGCGUUAAGUAUCCCGCCUGGGGAGUACGCUCGCAAGGGUGAAACUCAAAGGAAUUGACGG
rnacentral:rRNA from 1 species